UCUAGAAACAGUCCAGGUGUUCAUGUGAAUGCUAGAACGGACAUCAUCCCUUCCUGCGAUGGCAGGGGCUGUCACAGAUCUUCUUUAAGGGAUUGUGUCUCUGAGCUGGGGAGUCAUUGUGUCACCCACAUUGGUGGGUUAGCUUUACAAAGAGUUAUGUUGCCACAUUGCUGGGUCACAUUAUCCUGCCUCAUCCCUGCCAAAGAAUUUUGUGGAUUUAGUAUUCAGAAAAGGCUCUAUUGCACAGUUCUUCUCUGCUCUGCAUGAUCUCAGAUGAGGAAGCUCAACUGGGACUGGAGGAUGUCCUUCCAGGACAAUUUACCCAUGGGGUGAGUUUUCUUAAAAAAAAAAUCUAUUUCGACAGUCAGAGAUGAGCAAUGAAUGACCUUAUUGUACUGUGGCUGUUUGCCACGCUGAGUGGAAAGCUCCAGAGCCGCAAGACUGACAGGGGGUGAAAAUGCAUCUGAGAAGACAGAACCUUUUCCUAUCUUCAUCAUGUAUGUU
rnacentral:lncRNA from 1 species